GCGUCUGCGUGACCUGCACGACGAUCGAGGAUCGCACGACCGCUGCUGGAUGGGAUCGAUCUUCUUCGGCUUUUCUUCGGCCGCUGCAGAACGAUCGGAAGACGUGAAAAGUGUGACCAAACAAGAACAGACAGAAAAGACCGGAAAAGUGUGUGAAGAAAAUUAAUUACAGUACAUUGAAAGAUGGUGACUUGAAUGCUUAAGAGCUACGACAUGAUCGAAUGCUGCCUGCCUGCCCGCCGAUCGAGGAGGCACAACUGUGCUGUGGACGGUAGAUCCCUAACUUGAUUCGAUUUCCUUAAUGGAUUGCGAAGGCGGCGGCGGCCGGCAGCCCCAAAAGGAGUUGCAGCAGCAGCAGCACCAGCAGGAGGAGAUGUGGUGGCGGUCAGCAGUUGGCCGUCGCCAGAAGUUGCCGACGCGCGCUCCCCAGCCGCACAAUGUGUGUGUGCCCCGCGGGCUUUAAGAAAUGCCGAAUUCCAGAAGCCGCAGUACAAUCAGUUGAAUUAAAAAACGAGCGCACAGACAGAAGAGGACGUGGAUGUGGCUGUAGAUGUGGCUGUGUCCAGGGCCUGGACCUGGGACCUGAGGUCUGGUUCUGGAUCUGAAGCCGGCGACGAUAUCAUCGCGUGGAGAGCGCGCGCAGAAGCUGCUGCCGUUGGGGGCUAGGAAAUUAAGAGGACAUUGUGGCGGCAUGCGGUUAGAACUUGCAGCGGCGGCUUAAACACAAAAUCCGCCAAGACACACACACACGCACACAGAGAGAGAGAGAGAGAGAGAGAGAGAGAGAGAGAGAGAGAGAGA